rnacentral:lncRNA from 1 species
ACUUGUAGCCGCCGGGAGCGCUCUGAGCCGUUGCGCUGCGCAGACGCCGCUCUGGCCUUGUCGGAGCCGAACCUGGGAGAAGCACGAGCUGUGGGAGGCGGCGUCUCGAGGGAUACACGGGAUGACCGUGGAGAGCGGGCGAAGGAUUAGGAAAAUGGCUGUGGUGGAGAUAAGAGGCGUUCCUGCCCGGCUUUGGAGCCUGGGGGCGGGGGUAGUCUUCAAUCAAAAGAAGGAUGGGGAAAAGGUUUUUAUUUCUUUGUAAACCAAGGAGUAAGGACACGCUCCUUCUGGCCUUGGUGCUAAAAAUACCAAGCUUUCUUUGGAUCGUGGCUGAGAUUUCUUCCUAACCUUUACGCUAAAGAGGUGGCUGGGACGAUUCUUGUGGUGUAGGGGGGUUUCCAGGGACAGCCAGGGGUGGCGCCCCUCUUUGGAUCGUGGCUGAGAUUUGUUCCUCACCUUUACGCUAAAGAGAUGGCUGGGACGAUUCCUGUGGGGUAGAGGGGUUUCCAGGGAUAGCCAGGGGCGGCUCCCCAGCCUCAGCCUCCCUACCUGUAGAAUGAAGCAUGCCACACCUCUGUUUCUUAAACUUAUUCGGUGGCUGAG